GAUGAACGCUGGCGGCGUGCCUAAUACAUGCAAGUCGAGCGAACAGACGAGGAGCUUGCUCCUCUGACGUUAGCGGCGGACGGGUGAGUAACACGUGGAUAACCUACCUAUAAGACUGGGAUAACUUCGGGAAACCGGAGCUAAUACCGGAUAAUAUAUUGAACCGCAUGGUUCAAUAGUGAAAGACGGUUUUGCUGUCACUUAUAGAUGGAUCCGCGCCGCAUUAGCUAGUUGGUAAGGUAACGGCUUACCAAGGCAACGAUGCGUAGCCGACAUGAGAGGGUGAUCGGCCAUACUGGAACUGAGACACGGUCCAGACUCCUACGGGAGGCAGCAGUAGGGAAUCUUCCGCAAUGGGCGAAAGCCUGACGGAGCAACGCCGCGUGAGUGAUGAAGGUCUUCGGAUCGUAAAACUCUGUUAUUAGGGAAGAACAAAUGUGUAAGUAACUAUGCACGUCUUGACGGUACCUAAUCAGAAAGCCACGGCUAACUACGUG
rnacentral:rRNA from 1 species